rnacentral:rRNA from 1 species
AGUGGCAAACGGGUGGGUAACACGUGGGCGACCUACCUUCGAGUGGGGGAUAACCUUCCGAAAGGAGGGCUAAUACCGCAUGACAUCCCGUGUUUGGAUACACGGUGAUCAAAGCCGGGGACCGCAAGACCUGGCGCUUGAAGAGGGGCCCGCGUCCGAUUAGCUUGUUGGUGAGGUAACGGCUCACCAAGGCUCCGAUCGGUAGCCGGCCUGAGAGGGCGGACGGCCACACUGGGACUGAGACACGGCCCAG